UACUCCUUCUCCCCAAAGCCAAACCCAUUUUCACAAAAACAAAAUCUACUAUUCUCUCUCUUCUCUCUCUUCUCUCUCUCUCUCUCUCUCUCUUCCUUCUCCCUGCGACCGCCUCGCCUCGCAUCGCAAUUCCUGCAAUUCCCUCACUCUCAGAUUCUUUCUCUCUCUCCGCCGCCGCCGCCGCCGAAACCCCGCGCAAGAUCCCCGCGGCGCCACCCGCGGGAUUUCUCUAGGGUUUUCUGAUCGCUCCCACGCGACAACAACGACGUCGUUUUCGAAUUGCGUGUAGCGUCCACGAGCCGCCAUGGCUCCCGGGCGUCGCCGCGGAGCGAACAAGGCGAAGGCGAAUGGGCACUUGACUCUCGGCGAUCUUGUCCUCGCUAAGGUCAAGGGCUUCCCCGCUUGGCCUGCUAAGAUAAGCAGGCCUGAGGAUUGGGAGAAAACCCCUGAUCCGAAGAAGUAUUUUGUUCAAUUCUUUGGUACGAAAGAAAUAGCUUUUGUUGCCCCAGCAGAUAUUCAGGCAUUUACCAAUGAGGCUAAAAAUAAGUUGUCUGCUCGUCUUCAGGGCAAGACAAAGUACUUUGCCCAAGCUGUGAAGGAAAUAUGUGCAGCAUUUGAUGAGAUGCAGAAACAGAAAGCUAGUGGUUUGACAGAUGACACUGAUGAUUCUCAUAUUGGUUCAGAGGCUCCUUCUAAUGAUGGGGUAGUAGGUAACCUAAAGGAUAAUACUGAUGCAGUGGUGUCAAAUGGAGGAAAAGAUAAUGUUGAUAUGGAUAAUGUUGGCUCUAAUUUGGAGCACUGUAUGCCGAGAGUUGGAGAAAAUGACAGUCAAGAUGAAAAGCUCUCUGUAUCUGACCAUCCAAAUGAAAGUUCUUCUGUUUCAUCUCCUGUGAUGAAAAAUAAAUUAUCCUCUGGUUCAGAGGCAAAGAAGAAUGUUCACAAAUCUAGUCUUAAAGAUGCUUGUAAUGUUAAUGAUUUUGGGCAAGAUGAUAAUGGACAUAGUGAUUUAACAAAUGGGACCAAGCCAAGAAAGCUUGUUAAUGGCUCAAGGAAGAGAAGUGAAGCUGCAGGUCAUAGAGACAGAAAUGGUGGAUCAUCUACUGGAAAAUUUUUGGAGGGAAAUUAUACUGGUCAUGGUGAUCUUUCUAAGUCUGAGGAGACAUUGAAAACUGGGAAGAAAAGGAAAAAUGCAUUUGCUGUUAAAUCAGAUUCUCCAGAUACUCUUAAAUCAGACAAUAAUGGUAAUACUGGGGAAAAAGAUAGCAACUUGAUAAAAGUCAAAACAAGUCUUGAGGUAAAAAAUGAGCUGCAGGAAAUCUCGUUUGAUUCUGAGGAUGGUGAUGGUAAAAGUUCUAGUUUGCGUAAGAAGACCCUGUUUCAUGCAAAGCAUAAUGUAGGAGCAAAUGAACCUUUACAUGCUACCAAGAAGUUGAAGCGUAUGGAUGCCCAAGAUGAUUCAACUGUAGGAUAUUCUUCAAAAGUUCCAAAAAGAGCUUCACCUGGCUCUACAGUUUUUGAAGACAGAUCAUUUAAAAAAUUAGAAUUGAAGAAGUCUACACCAAAUUUGAAAACAGAAAAAAGCUUGCCAUCUAAAGGUCAAAUUGGUGGUGCAGGUUCUGAUGAUUCUGUCAAUGAGUUGCUACCCGCAACUAAACAUCAUAGCCAGGUUCAUCAAGUUAUGCCUGAUUCUGCUGGCAUUGCUUCUGAUGAAAAGAAAGAAAGGAGUUCUCUUAGACAUAAAGUUGAUACAAAUAAUGUUAUGAUAAAACAAGUUGAGAGGAAACGCAGAGCUGUUUGUCUUUUCGAUGACGAUGAUGAACCUAAAACUCCUGUUCAUGGAGGAGCUGCUAAAAAUAUUAAAUCGUCUUCUGUUUCAGAGGUUAAGAAGACCAGCAAUGCGCACCCAGAGAAGUCUGAACCUAAAACUCCUGUUCAUGGUGGAGCUGCAAAAAAUAUUAAAUCGUCUUCUGUUUCAGAGGUAAAGAAGACCAACAAUGCACACCCAGAGAAGUCUGAUGUUGUUCAGAUGGCUCAAAGGAAUUCUAGUGAACUUGAGGAUACCCAUUCGAAAGAGCCAUCUUCUCAAUUACAUAAUGACGGUUUGUCAAUUAAGCAGCCUCUAAAAGAGAAAGAUGAUGAAGUGAUUCCUUUGCAUGUUCCUAAUAGUCCUGAAAAAUUAGAUUUGAAGCAGUUUCCCUCCAAUGCGGCAAAAUUAAGCUCUGUCUCUCCAGUAAAAUCACCUCAGCCAGUACCGGCAAUUAAGUCAAAUGCUGAGCGGAAUAAAGCUUCCAAACUUUCGAUUAAAAAUUCCAUUAAUGCUACUCAAAAGAGGGCUGAUCAUGGGUCUUCAAAGUCUUCACAUAACCUUAGCUCUUCUCAGAAUCAAGUUGCAACUCAUAGAAAGAAGCUUGCAUCUUCUGCAGAAAUUUCUAAAACUACUCCAGAGACAUUGCCUCAGGCAGUUGAAGCUCCUGCCUCAACUGUUGGUUUUAAGGAUCCUGAUGAUCUACAUGUUGAUAGAUUGGAGGUGGGCACAGAAGAGAAAAAUAGUAUAUAUACCGGUUCUGGGACUCCUGAAACUGCCAAAACUAUGAAGCAUCUUAUUGCAGCUGCCCUGGCAAAAAGGAAACAAGCUCAUUCUCAAUGUCUUCCUUCUGGCUUUCCCAAUGUUCAGGGGGGGACACCUAGCCCCUCCACAGUUCAGCCAUUUCUGCCUGUCUUGAGCAAUUUUGUGCAGGCAGAUAUGCAGGGAGUUUAUGAGCAGACAACAUUGGCUUCUCCACCAACUAAAGAGCAUCACUCUGCUUCUCAUACUCAACUUGAUGCUGAUGAAAUUGAGGACAGAAGAAUUGGUUCAGCGCAAAGGGGAAUAGAAGGCUCACUGAGUGGUGGUACUGAGGCUGCUGUUUCUCGUGAAGCUUUUGAAGGAAUGAUUGAAACCUUGUCAAGGACCAAGGAAAGUAUUGGCCGUGCAACUCGUCUUGCUAUUGAUUGUGCCAAGUAUGGCAUUGCCAACGAGGUUGUUGAACUUCUCAUCCGAAAGCUGGAAAAUGAAACUAGUUUUCAUCGUAAAGUGGAUUUAUUUUUUCUUGUUGAUUCUAUCACUCAGUGCUCGCAUAAUCAAAAAGGCAUUGCAGGAGCCUCCUACAUACCUACUGUUCAGGCAGCAUUGCCACGCCUUCUUGGUGCUGCUGCUCCCCCUGGAGCUAGUGCUCGUGAAAAUCGCCGUCAGUGUCUUAAGGUUUUGAGGCUGUGGCUUGAGAGGAAAAUUUUUCCUGAAUCUGUUCUGCGCCGUUACAUGGAUGAUAUUGGAGUUUCAAAUGAUGAUAUGACAGUUAGCUUUUCUCUUAGACGUCCAUCUCGAGCAGAGAGAGCUGUGGAUGACCCAAUUAGAGAAAUGGAAGGCAUGCUUGUUGAUGAGUAUGGAAGUAAUGCUACAUUUCAGCUGCCUGGCUUUUUAUCUUCACGUCCAUUUGAAGAUGAUGAAGAUGAAUAUGAAGAUGAUAUACCAAUCAAUUCAUGUAAGGAGACGUGUGAUGCAUCUCCAGCUGAUCCCACACAUAUCCUUGGAGAAUCAGAAACUUCUACUGUUACCCCAAAUGACAAGCGCCAUUGUAUCUUAAAGGAUGUGGAUGGUGAGCUGGAAAUGGAAGAUGUUUCAGGUCACCCGAAGGAUGAAAGGCCCCUAUUUUUUAACAGUUCUGAAGAAAUUGAUUUGCAACAUCAGGGCUCAGAUAGGAAUAUAGAUCCAACUGCAAACAUUUCAGAAGAGAUGUCAGCUACUCCUGACGGUUCUCCUCCUAUGCCACUUGAUUCACCUCCUCCACCCCCACCUUUGCCUUCAUCACCUCCGCCACCACCUCCUCCAUUGUCACCAUCUCCUCCCCCGCCUCCCCCACCCCCAAUGUUGCAACCCCCACCUCCUCCUUUACCACCCUCCGCAGCUCCUCCGGUGUCAUUGGUUCCUCAAUCGUCUGGACCAGCUCGGCCACUUCUCUCCCAGUCAUUAAUGCCACCUCAGUCUGCGCAUCAGUCGUCCCCACAGUUGGGGUAUCAGCAGAGUGUACCUCAUGACUUUAGUGGCACUACUAAUGGUAACCAAAUAGUUCCAAUGGCUGGGAAUUCUUUUCCUGGAGGUCACAAUAAUGCAGUUGUCCAGAAUGAAGUAUUUCCACAGCCAUCUGCUUAUGCUCCAGCAGCAGGCUGUAGCUCCCAGGAGCCUUCUGGUUUUAACCAUUCCAGGCAAUUAGAAUACGGACAGAAUGAUAUGUUUUUAAAUGCUCCAGUUCCUCAACCUAACCAUCAAUUUCAGCAGAGCAAUCCCCCAUUUGUUCAGAGGCAUGCUCAUCCUGCUCCACCGCAAAAUCCACCAAAUCCAUACUCAUAUUCAAAUCCCACAGUUCAGCAACAUCUUCCUCAUUCAUUCCAUCCCCCCUUUCCUUUACCAUCCCUUCCAGAUGGUCGGAGACAAUUUGUUGCUGAUGAGCAAUGGAGAGUGCCAUCGAGUGAAUUUAAAACAAAUAAUCAGCAUGGUGUAUGGAGAGGGAGAAAUCCUUCAUGUCCCGGUCCACCCUACGGGCAAGAAGGUCAUUUUCGGCCAACACUUGAAAGACCACCAGUAAGCUCCGUGGGUUUUCAGCGACCAAUUUCAAGCAACCUACCUGUUGCUCCAGGACAUGGUGUACCUCAGAUGAUGCCCUGUAGGCCAGACAUUCCUGCCGUUAAUUGUUGGAGACCCAAUUGAAGUUGAUUGGAGCCAUCUUAUUAGUAGUAGUGGUGUUGCUGGUGGAUCAACAUGCAAGGUUAAAUUGUGCCUCAGUUAGAUUCGCCUGUGUAGUACAUACAACUUACCCGUGGAGAAAAUUUUGAAAACUUGUGGAGGCUUUUGACAGGAUUGUGUAUAUUGUAAUUUUUCCUGACAAUGUAUCCCAGAAACAUUUGCUUCCAAGUUUAGGCCCAUGUUUUUGACUUGGUUUUGGCAAAGCCAAAGAUGGUGAUCAUUUUCUCAUGUUUUGAAUGUGAUAACUGAACAAAGAUUACAGUUCAUCUUCAUAGACAAAGACUGCUUAUUAUUGAGGGAUGUAGAAGCGAAAUUGGCUUGCAAGUUUUCAUGUAAGGAUAACCUGUGGCCAUUAUUUGGAAAGUCUGUACAGAAAAUUGCAUGUCGAAUGGGUGUUCUCGUAUUCACACGAGAUAAAAGGGGACCAAUGGAUGAAUAACAUUGUUUAGAGGGUAUUUGUUAAAUGCUAUUUGUAGCCGCAAGAUUCAGCAAACCCAAUUUGCCCAACAAAACGUGUUAUUGAUCUGAGACUUCUUCCCAAGAAUGGUCGACCUUCUACUAAAAGAUUUACGUGUGUUUAAACCACCUGAUCCAAUGCAAUUCGGCUACCAGCUUUCUGCCUCUGAGCUAGGCCCUUUGAUGAUCUUGUUGAAAAUGCUCCAUUGUUGCCAUUAUCCUUCUUCAAGAGCAUCUCUGGAAUACGCUGAAGGUUAGCUUCAGAUUUAUGAUUCCUUCGUAUAAGUGUACUUUUCCUUUUAUCAGUGUCACUUUUCCUGGCUUUUAUAACUUCCAUAAUAUCAGGCCCUUCCAUAAUAUCAUCCAAUGUUCCAUUUGCCAAACUACGAGACUUUUGGUGACGAUUAACAUGUUGAGGGGACAAUACCGAGUUCCGACUGAAUGAACCAUUUUCUUGACCUUUGUAACACCUUUUUUCGUACUCCUCAAUGUUAAAUAUUUCAGAUGCUGAUUUCUUCAUUGUUGGUUUAGCUCCAUAGUAACCUCGUAAGGAGCUAAUCACUGGGGAGAGGAAUGACUCAAACACUUCACAGUGUCCAUUAUCAGGUGAAUUGUACUCAUCGUUAUCAUGUCUGAAGGGAUAAUGUUCAACAAAAUGAAUUUUAUAACGUUUCAUAAAAAUGAAUACUCUCUCUGUUAAGACCCAA